rnacentral:misc_RNA from 1 species
ACACCUCAACCCUUGUGGCUUGCCAUGAUGGGCUUGGACUUUGGGGGUCUUGUUGGCCUGUGAGCCAGCUCCUCUUAAAUGGAUUAGCUUGCCGGUGUUUGGUGGCGUCACAGGUGUGAUAACUAUCUACGCUUGUGGUUUUCCACCAGGUAACCUCCAGUGAUGGAGGUUCGCUGGAGCUCACAAAUGUCUCUCCUUGCGAGGACGAUUUCUGAAC